UCGGAUAUGGUGUAUCGGCAACAUGGCUGUCUUUCACACAGCAGCGCCGGGUUCGACUCCCGGUAUCCGAA
rnacentral:tRNA from 1 species